rnacentral:lncRNA from 1 species
UUUUUCGGGAACCUGACAGCCGGGGGGAAGCGAGCAAAAAGGGCCGGCUGCCCUCCCGGCGCGGCGCGCGCAUCCGCAGCGGCGAGGGGAGGCAGAGCCGGGCAGCCGCGGCGCUGCCGGGGAAGGAGCGGCGAGGACGACCCGCGCCGCGGCACCAUGGCCCGCGCCGCGCCACGGCUGCUCCUCGCCCUGCUGCCGCUCGCUGCAACGCUGCAACACGGGGCGCGAGAGCACACGCCGCGUGCGGGGUCACGCCGUGCCCUGCGAAUCCUCCUCCAGCUCCCUCCGGGAACGCAGCCCCUUCCGUUCGCUCCGCUUGCGGGCUCUUCGAAAGCCCCAGUGCCACGCGAGGACGCGCUGGCGGACGCUUGAGCUCCAGGGCUCGACGCAACGCCGUCCUGCGCCCGCGCCGUGGGGGAACGGCGCAGACCUUCCCAGCAUCCCAGCAGCUCCUUGACUGAUCGCCAGGAAACCCAGCUGUCCUGCAGUUGCUUUCCAGGAGAAACUCCGACUGCAGCAACUGUGGCCAGCAGCGCUUGGAAGCAUCUGCGACACACAAAGCACUCGGGGCCUGAUCCAAAGCCCGGUGGCGUACGCGGCCAGGCCCCGCCGAGAUUAAUGCUUAUCUCAUUAAACGUUCAUGACAUUAACCUUUUUUUCCUGUCAUAGAUGUAUUUUGUUCUUUUUCAUUCCAUAAGAAAUGAUUUUAGCAUCCUGCUUCACCUUUAACUGCGGCUUUCUCCAGCCUCAGAGCAAAGAAAAAAUACCCAGGGAAACAGUAACCAUUGGAGAAGUUUUCCCAGGGCAGUGGCUCUCUCAGCGUCCCGCUGCGGCUGCCCAGCGCUCCUGACAGCGAGCUCGCAGACGGGGAAGGUGACAGCCCGCCAGAGCUUACCUUGCAGGGAGGAGGCCGGGGGAGGUCACAGAGAAAGCUGGGUACAUGGUAGGAGGAGGUAUUAAUAAGUGUUGGAUCACGUUUCUUGGUGGCAGUCUUGUUCCCACCGAGCUAGUGGCACUUUGACCGGAAAAUCCCAUCCCAAAAGCAAGCAAGGCGCGUCACCUAGCAGUGCCCUGCGCUCUGUGACAGUCGCAGGGCAAUUGCAGGCUCGAGGAC